UCCUAUGUAGCUCAGUGGUAGAGAAUCUGCUUUGCAUGCAGAAGGUUCCAGGUUCAAUUCCUGGCAAUCUCUGGGCA